CCUCGGGUUGUAAAGCACUUUCAGUGGGGAAGAAAGCCUUGGGGCUAAUACCCUCGAGGAAGGACAUCACCCACAGAAGAAGCACCGGCUAACUCCGUGCCAGCAGCCGCGGUAAUACGGAGGGUGCGAGCGUUAAUCGGAAUUACUGGGCGUAAAGCGCGCGUAGGCGGUCUGAUAAGCCGGUUGUGAAAGCCCCGGGCUCAACCUGGGAACGGCAUCCGGAACUGUCAGGCUAGAGUGCAGGAGAGGAAGGUAGAAUUCCCGGUGUAGCGGUGAAAUGCGUAGAGAUCGGGAGGAAUACCAGUGGCGAAGGCGGCCUUCUGGACUGACACUGACGCUGAGGUGCGAAAGCGUGGGUAGCAAACAGGAUUAGAUACCCUGGUAGUCCACGCCGUAAACGAUGUCGACUAGCCGUUGGGGUCCUUGAGACCUUUGUGGCGCAGUUAACGCGAUAAGUCGACCGCCUGGGGAGUACGGCCGCAAGGUUAAAACUCAAAUGAAUUGACGGGGGCCCGCACAAGCGGUGGAGCAUGUGGUUUAAUUCGAUGCAACGCGAAGAACCUUACCUACCCUUGACAUCGAG
rnacentral:rRNA from 1 species